UUUGCCUGCACUAGCGCGGUGGUCCCACCUGACCCCAUGCCGAACUCAGAAGUGAAACGCCGUAGCGCCGAUGGUAGUGUGGGGUCUCCCCAUGUGAGAGUAGGGAACUGCCAGGC
rnacentral:rRNA from 1 species